rnacentral:rRNA from 1 species
GGGUUGUGAGGUUAAGCGACUAAGCGUACACGGUGGAUGCCCUGGCAGUCAGAGGCGAUGAAGGACGUGCUAAUCUGCGAUAAGCGUCGGUAAGGUGAUAUGAACCGUUAUAACCGGCGAUUUCCGAAUGGGGAAACCCAGUGUGUUUCGACACACUAUCAUUAACUGAAUCCAUAGGUUAAUGAGGCGAACCGGGGGAACUGAAACAUCUAAGUACCCCGAGGAAAAGAAAUCAACCGAGAUUCCCCCAGUAGCGGCGAGCGAACGGGGAGCAGCCCAGAGCCUGAAUCAGUGUGUGUGUUAGUGGAAGCGUCUGGAAAGGCGCGCGAUACAGGGUGACAGCCCCGUACACAAAAAUGCACAUGCUGUGAGCUCGAUGAGUAGGGCGGGACACGUGGUAUCCUGUCUGAAUAUGGGGGGACCAUCCUCCAAGGCUAAAUACUCCUGACUGACCGAUAGUGAACCAGUACCGUGAGGGAAAGGCGAAAAGAACCCCGGCGAGGGGAGUGAAAAAGAACCUGAAACCGUGUACGUACAAGCAGUGGGAGCACGCUUAGGCGUGUGACUGCGUACCUUUUGUAUAAUGGGUCAGCGACUUAUAUUCUGUAGCAAGGUUAACCGAAUAGGGGAGCCGAAGGGAAACCGAGUCUUAACUGGGCGUUAAGUUGCAGGGUAUAGACCCGAAACCCGGUGAUCUAGCCAUGGGCAGGUUGAAGGUUGGGUAACACUAACUGGAGGACCGAACCGACUAAUGUUGAAAAAUUAGCGGAUGACUUGUGGCUGGGGGUGAAAGGCCAAUCAAACCGGGAGAUAGCUGGUUCUCCCCGAAAGCUAUUUAGGUAGCGCCUCGUGAAUUCAUCUCCGGGGGUAGAGCACUGUUUCGGCAAGGGGGUCAUCCCGACUUACCAACCCGAUGCAAACUGCGAAUACCGGAGAAUGUUAUCACGGGAGACACACGGCGGGUGCUAACGUCCGUCGUGAAGAGGGAAACAACCCAGACCGCCAGCUAAGGUCCCAAAGUCAUGGUUAAGUGGGAAACGAUGUGGGAAGGCCCAGACAGCCAGGAUGUUGGCUUAGAAGCAGCCAUCAUUUAAAGAAAGCGUAAUAGCUCACUGGUCGAGUCGGCCUGCGCGGAAGAUGUAACGGGGCUAAACCAU